rnacentral:rRNA from 1 species
AGAGUUUGAUCCUGGCUCAGGAUGAACGCUGGCGGCGUGCCUAAUACAUGCAAGUCGAGCGAACGGACGAGAAGCUUGCUUCUCUGAUGUUAGCGGCGGACGGGUGAGUAACACGUGGAUAACCUACCUAUAAGACUGGGAUAACUUCGGGAAACCGGAGCUAAUACCGGAUAAUAUUUUGAACCGCAUGAUUCAAAAGUGAAAGACGGUCUUGCUGUCACUUAUAGAUGGAUCCGCGCUGCAUUAGCUAGUUGGUAAGGUAACGGCUUACCAAGGCAACGAUGCAUAGCCGACCUGAGAGGGUGAUCGGCCACACUGGAACUGAGACACGGUCCAGACUCCUACGGGAGGCAGCAGUAGGGAAUCUUCCGCAAUGGGCGAAAGCCUGACGGAGCAACGCCGCGUGAGUGAUGAAGGUCUUCGGAUCGUAAAACUCUGUUAUUAGGGAAGAACAUAUGUGUAAGUAACUGUGCACAUCUUGACGGUACCUAAUCAGAAAGCCACGGCUAACUACGUGCCAGCAGCCGCGGUAAUACGUAGGUGGCAAGCGUUAUCCGGAAUUAUUGGGCGUAAAGCGCGCGUAGGCGGUUUUUUAAGUCUGAUGUGAAAGCCCACGGCUCAACCGUGGAGGGUCAUUGGAAACUGGAAAACUUGAGUGCAGAAGAGGAAAGUGGAAUUCCAUGUGUAGCGGUGAAAUGCGCAGAGAUAUGGAGGAACACCAGUGGCGAAGGCGACUUUCUGGUCUGUAACUGACGCUGAUGUGCGAAAGCGUGGGGAUCAAACAGGAUUAGAUACCCUGGUAGUCCACGCCGUAAACGAUGAGUGCUAAGUGUUAGGGGGUUUCCGCCCCUUAGUGCUGCAGCUAACGCAUUAAGCACUCCGCCUGGGGAGUACGACCGCAAGGUUGAAACUCAAAGGAAUUGACGGGGACCCGCACAAGCGGUGGAGCAUGUGGUUUAAUUCGAAGCAACGCGAAGAACCUUACCAAAUCUUGACAUCCUUUGACAACUCUAGAGAUAGAGC